rnacentral:snRNA from 1 species
AGCCACGCAGUGAGCACAAAGCGAACUAUUCUUUCGCCUUUUACUAAAGAAUACCGUGUGCGCGCCGCACUUAGUGGCAUGCGCUAAUUUUUGGAGGGGUUCUCCUCUGUUGAUGAU